rnacentral:rRNA from 1 species
UAGGGAAUAUUGGACAAUGGGCGCAAGCCUGAUCCAGCAAUGCCGCGUGGAUGAAGAAGGUCUUCGGAUUGUAAAGUCCUUUCGGCGGGGACGCGGUACCCGCAGAAGAAGCCCCGGCUAACUUCGUGCCAGCAGCCGCGGUAAUACGAAGGGGGCUAGCGUUGCUCGGAAUGACUGGGCGUAAAGGGCGCGUAGGCUGUUCGGUCAGUUAGGUGUGAAAUUCCUGGGCUUAACCUGGGGGCUGCACUUAAUACGGCCGGGCUAGAGUGUGGAAGAGGGUCGUGGAAUUCCCAGUGUAGAGGUGAAAUUCGUAGAUAUUGGGAAGAACACCGGUGGCGAAGGCGGCGACCUGGUCCAUUACUGACGCUGAGGCGCGAAAGCGUGGGGAGCAAACAGGAUUAGAUACCCUAGUAGU